GACGAACGCUGGCGGCGUGCUUAACACAUGCAAGUCGAACGGAAAGGCCCUGCUUUUGUGGGGUGCUCGAGUGGCGAACGGGUGAGUAACACGUGAGUAACCUGCUCUUGACUUUGGGAUAACUUCAGGAAACUGGGGCUAAUACCGGAUAGGAGCUCCUGCUGCAUGGUGGGGGUUGGAAAGUUUCGGCGGUUGGGGAUGGACUCGCGGCUUAUCAGCUUGUUGGUGGGGUAGUGGCUUACCAAGGCUUUGACGGGUAGCCGGCCUGAGAGGGUGACCGGCCACAUUGGGACUGUGAUACGGCCCAGACUCCUACGGGAGGCAGCAGUGGGGAAUAUUGCACAAUGGGCGGAAGCCUGAUGCAGCAAUGCCGCGUGCGGGAUGACGGCCUUCGGGUUGUAAACCGCUUUCGCCUGUGACGAAGCGUGAGUGACGGUAAUGGGUAAAGAAGCACCGGCUAACUACGUG
rnacentral:rRNA from 1 species